UUUCUCACCUUCCCUGAUGAAGGGUCUUUUCAGUUGCAAACCAACUUGCCACCUCAGCGGCAGAAGUUGAGUGUUGUUCGUGUCACCAGGGACCUGGGUGGCACCUUACAGAGUCCUUCACAGUCACCUCUUGGAUCCACUUCAUGUAAGUUCUGCGAGAAGCUCUUCUAGGAGGCAACUUGAAGAGGAAAAUUACUGGGAUGAACUCCAACCCCUACCUCUGAAGUUUUGGGGUCUCAGGGCUGCAACUGACAUCCUCACCUGCCCACUCCACUACCCAUUAUAGACCACCUCACUCUCAGACGACAUCUCUGUUGGUCUCCUGAUUACCUGAGGGAACUGAGACCCUGGUCACCAUGCUAUUUUCAGGCCAGGGUUGCUACACUUGUCAACUUAACAUCAAAAUUGGGCAAGGGAGUACCAAGAAGCACCCAAGGGCAUCGCCUGGAUGUCAAACAUAUUCCUCCCAGACCCCAUAUGCAACCGCUUCUGGAUGCCAGGAUGCGACUCCUCUUCUUACCGCUGGCCCCUUGAUGCAAGGACAAGAAACCCAGAGUGCCAAGGAGGC
ensembl:lncRNA novel transcript